CUGAGACACGGUCCAGACUCCUACGGGAGGCAGCAGUAGGGAAUAUUGUGCAAUGGGCGAAAGCCUGACACAGCCAUGCCGCGUGUGUGAAGAAGGCCUUAGGGUUGUAAAGCACUUUCAGCAGGGAGGAACUAGCAGGGUUAAUAACCUUGUGAAAUGACGUUACCUGCAGAAGAAGUACCGGCUAACUCCGUGCCAGCAGCCGCGGUAAUAC
rnacentral:rRNA from 11 species